rnacentral:rRNA from 1 species
UACGUAGGGUGCGAGCGUUAAUCGGAAUUACUGGGCGUAAAGCGUGCGCAGGCGGUUCUCCAAGUCCGUUGUGAAAGCCCGGGCUCAACCUGGGAAUGGCAGUGGAAACUAGGGGACUGGAAUCUGGCAGAGGGGGGUGGAAUGCCGCGGUGUAGCAGUGAAAUGCGUAGAGAUGCGGCGGAACACCGAUGGCGAAGGCAGCCCCUGGGCCUGCAC